GCGAGAAGAUAAAACCAGACAUUCUCCCUCAAACCCCAAAAAGGAGGUUCCCCUACUACCAAAAUCACCAGAGACUAAUCUCUUCUUCUCGUCGUCUCUUGGAUUGUGUAUGCAUUCAUACUUAUAAAGAUGCUAUUGAGGAGCAUCAAACAUUUAUAGUAAGCAAGAUUAAUUUUGAAGAACACCGCCUACCUGCAGGUGGUUAAGGAUCACAGUAAUCAUUGUUUGAGUCGUCAAUUCGUGUUUGACGAUGAGAGUGAAAAAGCUAAUGCUGGCGCAUUUACCAAUUUGGAAGCGCUCAACUUUUUACGAGCUAGAGGAGCCUCAACAGAUCCUACGAGUAGUUUCUCCUGUUUCUCCUUUUGAGUACCAGGUUUAUGAUUAUUUGGUCAAAAUUGCUGCUUAUAGUCAAAGUACAAACACAAGAGAGUAUCAAUGAGUUCUUGAAGAGCUGUGAGAAAUACAAACUUGCAAAAGCGGAGAAGCUCAACAUCAUUAAAACAUUAGGCCGUCAACUCAAGAGGAAAUUGACCCGGUAUGUUUACUUUCAAAAUCCCCUUUCAGUUCUUAUUAUAUGUUUAUUAUUAAUCAUUGUUAGACACUCUUCUUUACGUAUUAGCGUCCAUAAAUGACAUCGUGCUUGUUUUGGUUUUCCUUUGUAUUGACUAAAUAAGGCAUUUCAGAAUUCUCUUGUGCAUGCUGUAAUUGUCAGGCUUAGUAUAGACAGGAAUAAAUGAAUAGAAAUUCUUAUGAUCUGUCUACAGUUUUAACUGUUUCAAGAUUCACUAUCUCAGGAAUUGGUGUGCAGACACUUCCACGCCUCCCAAAUGUGUUUAAAAUCUUGUUCCUUUAUGCUUUAAAGUUAGUGUAUCAUCUAAAUCUUUGUUAACCAAUUUUAGAUUUAUGAACUCUUCUUGACGACCUCACCAGUCCCUGGGGUCUAUAUAUUGUUUGAAAUAUGACCUAGUAGGCAUGAUUGUCUGAACCCUUACUUUUAUCAAAAUUGGCAAUAAACGAGAGAUCUUAAGAUUCAUCAAUCUGGUAGCGAGACAACAUAGAUGAUUGCCUCUCAAUUGCGGAAUCAUAAUUGUUCAGCAUGUGUAGGCUAAAUAUGUUAUACCUUCUGAUUAUAUUAGAUACCUUAAAACUUCCCACUUCCUAGAUUCUUCUGCUUUUUAGCGUCUUUGAAUUUAUAGGCUCUGGCAAGAUGUUUUCCAUUGAGCAGAUUAUUGAAGAGUGUCAGAAAUGCUUGGGAGAUGAAGAAGUUGAAGAGUUGGUGGAGCUGAUAUCAAAUUUAUUUUGUCCACCACUCUGAAGGUACAGAUGAGGGUAAAGGAAUUCUUGAUGGUUUCUGAAUGGAAGGUAAAGAUGAUGUCAAAGGAGCUCCAGAUGAGGAAGAUACAGAAGGAUUUUUUGACGGCUUUCUACUGAAAGAUAUAGAUGCGGGUAUAGAACUAUAAAUCUCUAUCAACUUUAUGGGAACUCUAAACGAUCAACCAACUGCUAUCUUUCUCAACCUUUUCAUGUCAUCUGUCUUGGUAUUAAGAGGCAGAAAUCUUUGUGAAUUGAGACCUGAAUUAACUGAACUUGUGCAAAAAUAUUCUAUUCUUCAUGUGAGCAGUUUCAGUCCAAUUAUGAGACCUGAAUUAACUUGUGCAAAAAUAUUCUAUUCUUCAUAGGGAGGAAUGUUUACAUUCUGACGACAAUGGAUCAGAAUGGUCAAGGACGCAAGAGCGGUGAACAGGAUAAACUUUGGGAAUUUGUUGAUCCCAUUGAUAAUCUUUUUCAAAUCCCAUCCGGAGUCAUUCAGGUGUUACCUGACUUGCCCAUGAUUUGGGAGAAUAAUGUUCUUGUUCAAGGCAUGUGGAGCAGCGAAUGAAACCUAGAAUGGAUGCAUGCAAUUCAUGAUUUCCUUAAACCCUACAAACCCCUUCUCAACUCUCACGUCAUCUAUUUCUUCACUGAUAAACUUUGGAAAUGCAUGUUGAUCAACAACGUCUUCAUCAUGACCCCAUUGCAAAUGUUUCUUCAAAUUUUGAAUCUGAGCUUGGGGUAUGGAUGCAGUUGAAUUCAAUCUUGUGUAGG